rnacentral:rRNA from 1 species
AUGAACGCUGGCGGCGUGUCUAAGGCAUGCAAGUCGAACGGUUAUUUUACCGCAAGGUGAAAUGAUAGUGGCAAACGGGUGCGUAACACCCUGGUAACCUGCCUUAAAGUUCAGAAUAAUUCGCCGAAAGGUGAACUAAUACUGGAUGUGGUUUAUCAUCGCAAGAUGAUAAAAGAAAGCCCAAAAGGCGCUUUAAGAGGGACCUAGGUUCCAUCAGCUUGUUGGUAGGGUAACGGCCUACCAAGGCUACGACGGAUAGGGGGCGUGAGAGCGCGACCCCCCUCACUGGGACUGAGACACUGCCCAGACUCCUACGGGAGGCUGCAGUCAAGAAUAUUCCUCAAUGGACGAAAGUCUGAAGGAGCGACGCCGCGUGCAGGAAGAAACCCUUCGGGGUGUAAACUGCUUUUCUAUAGGAAGAACUUUGACGGUACUAUAGGAAUAAGGGGUUGCUAACUCUGU